UACGAAGGGGGCUAGCGUUGCUCGGGAAUCACUGGGCGUAAAGGGUGCGUAGGCGGGUUUUUAAGUCAGAGGUGAAAUCCUGGAGCUCAACUCCAGAACUGCCUUUGAUACUGAAAGUCUUGAGUGAUGGGAGAGGUGAGUGGAACUGCGAGUGUAGAGGUGAAAUUCGUAGAUAUUCGCAAGAACACCAGUGGUGAAGGCGGCUCACUGGCCCAUAACUGACGCUGAGGCACGAAAGCGUGGGGAGCAAACAGGG
rnacentral:rRNA from 1 species